rnacentral:rRNA from 1 species
GACGAACGCUGGCGGCGUGCCUAAUACAUGCAAGUCGAGCGAAGUUUUUCUGGUGCUUGCACUAGAAAAACUUAGCGGCGAACGGGUGAGUAACACGUAAAGAACCUGCCUCAUAGACUGGGACAACUAUUGGAAACGAUAGCUAAUACCGGAUAACAGCAUUAACUGCAUGGUUGAUGUUUGAAAGUUGGUUUUGCUAACACUAUGAGAUGGCUUUGCGGUGCAUUAGCUAGUUGGUGGGGUAAAGGCCUACCAAGGCGACGAUGCAUAGCCGACCUGAGAGGGUGAUCGGCCACACUGGGACUGAGACACGGCCCAGGCUCCUACGGGAGGCAGCAGUAGGGAAUCUUCCGCAAUGGGCGAAAGCCUGACGGAGCAACGCCGCGUGAGUGAAGAAGGAUUUCGGUUCGUAAAGCUCUGUUGUUAGGGAAGAAUGAUUAUGUAGUAACUAUACAUAG